rnacentral:tRNA from 1 species
GGGCGAUUAGCUCAGUUGGUAGAGCGCCUGCCUUACAAGCAGGACGUCAUCGGUUCGAGUCCGGUAUUGCCCA